GUUUUUGGUCGGCUAUCUUUAAAACCAGGAAUGGGAAAUCGAGGAACGGAACGGAAUCGAGGAACGGAACGGAACGAGAAAAGCCGGAAACUUUAAAACCCGGAAUAAGAAAAGCCGGAAUCUUUAAAACCCGGAUUGAGAAAACCCGCAAUCCUUAACAUGAGUAACAUACGCGAGUAAAACACAAGUACAUACGAGUGGAAUACGAGUAUACAUACGAGUAGAAUACGAGUAAAAUACGAGUAAAAUCCGAGUAAAAUACGAGUAGCAAACUUCUCUGUCGAAAAACGUGAAAUAGACUGAAACCGGCUAUGUUUAAAACGGGGAAUGGGGGGACGGAGAAUGGGAGAACGGGGAAUGGGGGGACGGGGAAUGGGUGAACGGGGAAUGUAGGAACGUGGAAUGGGGGAACGAGGGACGGGGAAGGACAGGGGAAUCGGGGAAUUAUAUAUACGGGGGAAAAAAGAACAGAAAAAGGAAACAGAAAUUCGACAGGAUAAACUGGAAUCGGGAAAUUACGAAACUAUAAAAUGGACUCUGGUGUCUUGGGAAUUAGAAAACCGCUCAAUGAAUUAAAAAGUAAAGAAAUUUAGCGGAGCUUUCCUUUAUUAGUACAG